GAUGAACGCCGGCGGUGUGCCUAAUACAUGCAAGUCGAGCGCACUGGCCCAACUGAUAUGACGUGCUUGCACUGAAUUGACGUUGGAUUCCCAGUGAGCGGCGGACGGGUGAGUAACACGUGGGCAACCUGCCCUGAAGCGGGGGAUAACAUCUGGAAACAGGUGCUAAUACCGCAUAACAACGAAAACCACAUGGUUUUCGUUUCAAAGAUGGUUUCGGCUAUCACUUCAGGAUGGGCCCGCGGUGCAUUAGCUAGUUGGUAAGGUAACGGCUUACCAAGGCGAUGAUGCAUAGCCGAGUUGAGAGACUGAUCGGCCACAAUGGAACUGAGACACGGUCCAUACUCCUACGGGAGGCAGCAGUAGGGAAUCUUCCACAAUGGGCGCAAGCCUGAUGGAGCAACACCGCGUGAGUGAAGAAGGGUUUCGGCUCGUAAAGCUCUGUUGUUGGAGAAGAACGUGCGUGAGAGUAACUGUUCACGCAGUGACGGUAUCCAACCAGAAA
rnacentral:rRNA from 2 species